rnacentral:misc_RNA from 1 species
UGUGGCCCCGCCCCUGUCUGCAAGUACUCAUCUGAUGCUUUGAGGACCGUGCAAGUCAAGGAUCAAUUUCAAAUGAGAUGCUUGUACAGGGGAUUGGUUUGUGUUGCAUCUAAGAAGUCUGUCAACUGAAUUGCAAAUAUUUGGAGGUGAGCAGUUAAAUGCUGAAUGGUCAUGUGUAAGUUGUUAGUAAGAUUGAACAACAAAGUUCAGACAUUGCACUUGUGCCUGGUUGUGCUCUGUCUAUCCAAGAUAAAAAGUAAAUUGUUAGUGAAAAUAUCAUUAUAUUAUAAAGAAAAUUGUAUAUACAAGAUAAAUGAUAUUGCUUGGUACACAAAGGACAAUGAUUGCACAGUUGGAAAUGCUUCUUUUGCUGUUUUCCCCUGUUAUGUUAAAUGUGUAAUAUGUGAUGUACUGUUAAAAUUCAUAG